UCUAUUCCCUCAGUCUCAAAUCGGAAGAACUCAUUUAAAAAAAAUCGGAAGAACUCCGCAGGGGGAGAAGAGAGGCCGAGCUCGAAGAUUGGCGUGCUACUGCACGCCCAAAGAGAGAGGGAUGGCCGGCGUUGCUGAUGGAGCGAGUUUCCCCCCUACCAUUCUUGUCCAUCUUUUUUUUGUUUGUCUUGUUCUUGUUCGUGGUACACCGUAGAUCUGAAGAGAUUAGGUUUGUUUUUUGUGUGGGUCAAGCGAAGAUAAAUAGCUUCAACUCUAUAAUCGACUCCAGGAUUUUUUUAGUUAUUUUUUUGUGUCAUUAUUGUUCAAGCAAUCAAUAGAUUGGAGGUGUUUUUUCUGUGGUUCAUGCGGAUGUAAGGUUUGGGAUAGUUUUUCUAGUGCAUCAAGGGUGGCCAGAGUGAGCGGCUGCUUUUGUUUUUUUGUUAGGUGAUGUAGAUGUAACGCCAAGUAAACUGCACUCUUUACUGUUUAAUUUCAGUUGGUUCAGUUAGUUUAGUUCUUUUUGAUUCUUUUUCUGAAAUUCAUGUCUGCUACGCUGUAGGAGUUCGUCACUGUGCCCAUGUAUCCAGUAGAGUAGAUGGCAUCUUGUAUGUCCAUAUUCCCCCCUAAUGCCUGUUCUUUUUUUGUUUUGUAUCAAAUAUGUGAUUAGUAGUUUCAAGCAGAGAAUCACCCCAUAGUUUAGACCUUAUUUUCUUAGGUUUGAUUCUUUUGUGCAUUGAUGCACAAUAGUCUCUCGCUCUCGCGUGUCUAUCGACAAUAUCGGUGUGGUGGAUUUUUGAUGAUGAAACCGGAUUCUUUGCUUGUAGCUAGAUUCACUUACCUCGAUAAAUAAAGCCCCGUUUUUAUGUGUCAUCUUUUUUGUCAUUCGGAUAUUUUGCUGCGUCUUUUGAGGUUCUUUCCAGUAAAGAUUAUUUUACAACCAGUAGCACUAAAUUUCUUAGUAGGCCAAUAGACUGAGAUGAAGUGUGUUUCUCUGCUGGAUUGUACUGGAAGUAGUUUUUUAUCAACAUGUUUUUUCUAUGCUUGUAGGUGCAUAUAGAGAAAAUUUUACACCGCUCCGUACAUCCUCUGUACAGAGAGUAUAGUGCACUUUUUUUACACCCUCUGUUCAUGAGUAGGUGACAAGAGAGAUGUGUGUUUAGGAUUUUUUGCGAAGUUGAACAUUCCUUUUUGUUUUUUAGUAUAUAAACCUCUGCUAGUUAUCCUUUUCUUUGGACACUUUUUUUCUUCUUGUUUUUUAUCUGGUGAGUGCUAUCACUUAUACUGUUCUUAACUGGGAUAUUUUUGGUGUCUCAAGAAGUGCUUCUCUCAUAUCCCCUCAUACACAUUACUGAAACCAUUAGUAGGAGUGAUUCAAUCGCUUGUUUUGUUUUAUUCUAGUCGAGAGGAGUAGGUCGAAGAAUAUGACUAUUGCUGAAACAUUACUUUCGCGAAAUCAGUUCCAUGUUUUUUGAGGAUUAUCUCUGAACUCAAAUCCCCUCAUAUGUAUUACUGGACCAUCACUAGGAGUUGUAUAGCCUUUCUGUUUGUUUUACUUAGGUUUUUUGCUGAAAUCUUUUCUCUCGAAACAAGAGAGAUAUUUUAUUACUGCAUGUAUUAGCAGUAGUGUGGUAUGUUUUUUUUUUAUUUCUCAUAAUCCCUAUCUAAUCUGCAGCAUGUUUUUUUCUGAAAUCUUUUCUUUUUGUAAACAGGAGAUAUUACUGCUGAAAUCUAUCACUAGGGAGUGGGUUGUUUAUUUUUUAUUUUUUUUGCUUUGACACUUUUUUUAAUUCAGAAGCAUGUUCAAAUCUAUCUUUUUUUGCGUAAUCAAAAAGAGAAUGAUUUAAUGAAAGUAAGUUUCUAGCAGCAGCAUGUUUUAUUUUUUUCGCCCUAAAAACCAUAUGAAAUUAGUGCAUUGUUAAUUUUUUUCUUUUGUAUAUGAAUUAAUAUGGUCUUUUGAUAGAUUCAUCGUCUUUUUUAUCUCCACAUCGCAAAUGUAUAUAUGUUUCUUUUUUUCAUCAGCGGCGACGCCAAUGAUAUAUUAUCGUUAUGUCGAAAUCCUUUUUCUUCGGAAGCAUACAAGUUUUUUUUGCACUAAAAAUAAUUUAGCUGAAUAUGUAUGCGUAUCAGUAGCACAUAUUUAUGUUUUUGGCCUUAUUUUUAUGUGCAUAGGAGAUGGUUUUCAGAGUUUGUCUGAGCCCUUGCUACCGUGAGAGCAACAAGCGGCAUCAACAUGUAUGUCUAGAAGGAGUUCAAAAAUACAGGACGCAGCUCAUUUUCAAAAAAGGGGAGCAUAUUAAAGGAGAGAAGAGUUACUUGUCCAGAUUCUCGGGCACAGCAGCUGCGCCAGUGGUGCUGCCCGACGAAAAGGGGGCAGGGGAAGCGCGGCCGUCUUCUCCAUCGUCCUCCGGCGCCGCCCCGGUCAGCGAGAUGGGGAACUUGCACAUACAUGUUGUGCAAAUGCACUUGAAGAUGGUUGGGAUGCCAGAUUCAUCACAGUUUGUUGAUGCUGCACAUGUUGGACACCAAGAUUAACUGGGACUGGUCCGCAGCUGUUUGGAGUUCUUUUGCCAUAGUUCCAUCCAGCACCUACAAAAUGAAGAGAAAACAUUGUUGCUGAGGAAUCUUCCUUACUGCUGCAGGAUUGCUGUUACAAACAUGAGAAGGAAGAAAAGAAAAUCAGAUCUAGAACAAAUCAGAGAAGAUAAGGUGGGGGAAAGGUGGGAGGGGGUGAAAAUCAGAGAAGAGAUCAGACGCCCUUACACUAAUCAAGGAUGAAUAAUCGAUGGGUACAUCUUCGAGUACAACUGCAGAGGAAAAGCCUGCACACCAGGCCAGACGACACGGCCGCAGGGAAGUUCUUUGCUCCGUCUUUAGGGUGACAGAGCAAGGAACAGCUGAGUUCGUUCCUAGGGUGACCGUUUCGUAACUUGCGUUGGGCGAUCUGGGUCUCGCCUUGGCCCUUAUUGUCAUCCAUCGUCGCCGCAGUUUCCCACCUGCCGACGUCGAGUUCUCGGGCGCUUGCAUAGUCAUGUCGCCAAUAUCAGGAGAUGCUUGUUUCUUGUGCAAUUCCAUAGCCGAGUCAGGAAGCACUUGUUUGUGGAAUGCACGAAAGUCAAGCUCGUGUGAAGAGAGAUGAAGCUUGAGCAUAUUUGUACGAGACUUGCAAACUGUGAUAGCAAAGAGCAAAUGAUAGAUGUGAUAUGAUAGCAUAGAGCA